CAGGUACGAAUUUUUCUUCAUAUUUCUUGAACUCUUUAAUAGAUCUAUAUGGAUCUUCUUGCUUGCAUGUUACUUAUAAUUCAAAAUACAAAAAAAAUAUUUGUUGCAUUGAUUUUUAUGCUUCAAAUAUCAAAAAUUAAGAUCUGCACCAAAGAUCAAAUUGAAUUUUCUUCAAAUAUCUCUUUGUUUGAUUGUUGACUCUGCAUGCAAGCUCCAAAUUGUGAAUUCAGAUUUUGAGUCAAAAAUUGAUUGAAAAUGCUUGAUGAAUCUUCAUGUAACUGCAUAUUUGAUAUAGAAAAAAAAACAUAUCAAGAUUAGUAUAUGUAUGAAUACAAUAAUAAACAAUGAAAAAAUUAUUUAACUAAUUAAAGAGAAAACAAACUUCAAAACUUAAUCUCUUAGAUUCAUGUUGUAUUUGUUGCAUUGAGACUGAUUGCAUGUCAAAAUUUACUGUUUUUUCAUGUUUUUGUCUUGUUUUGCUUUUGAAUGUCACCUGUGAUGUCUUUUUAUUUUUUUCUCACCUUUUGGCUUCAUUCUUGAAUAUCCAUUUCCCUUUUCUUUUUUCUUAAUUGGAUCCACAAUUCGAUCCUUGGCCCCAAUUAAAGGAUCAACAAAUGAAUCAAAUUUGUGUCUGUUUUGUCACAAUUUUCACCAUACAAUUCACUUUGAUGCUUAGUAAUCUCAACUCUUGCUUGGUAUAAAUACCUUCUAGCAAUUUCUUCCGAAUCUAUAUCAUUUUCAGAUAAAGUCAUGACAGUAAAUGAUUUUUUCAUUAACUCGUUCAAACAAACUUCCAUAGAAGAUUUUGUUGUUCCCUUCUUUUUGGAGUACUCCGCAAAUCCUUUCUCAUGUUUAGCAUUCUUAGACCAUCUUUUCAAAAUGUAUUUCUCCGGAAUAGAAGUAAAAUUCAAUUCAAAGAACAAAAUAACCACUUGUUUUAUUGUAUAAAAAUGCACAUCCAAAGAAAGUAUUUUUCCAGUGGUUAUUCACACCAACAAAUGGAGCACAAAUCAUGUCAUAUCUAUUUGUACGAUAAGUAGUGUAAAAAAUCAUCACAUCUCCAAACACUCGUAGUGCAAUUUAGAUAUACUAUCUCUCCAAAAGAAAUUACACAAUCUGCCAUCUUCGUCAACUUGAAAAAAAUAAAAAAAGUUUGAAUCCUUUGAUUGUAAAUGCAUAAAAUGAUUUAUCAUGGUUUGAGCAUCUCCACCACUUAUCAUAUUCCUUUUAUGUGCUUGUAUAAAGUUACGAGCAUCUUGUUCAAUAAAUCCCGCAUUUUCAAUUCCACCAGCUUCGUUAUGAAGGUAUCUAACCACUUUUUUUGUUCGAAUACUGACAUCCACCAUAGAACCAAGAAUACUUUUAGUAGCACUUUUAAGCUUACGACCCGAUUGUAUGAAACAGUUCAAAUUAUCUUCUAUCAUUGGAUGACUAUGCACAUCAUUGAAUUCACAUACUUCCCACAUUCCAUUUGAAAUUUUGAAUUUUAUACGAGCCAUGCAACCACAUCUAUAUUCUAAUCUCUGUCGUUUCCUUUCUUGAAAAAGGGAAAGAUUAUCAGAUUUUCCUUUACAAGCACAAAGAAAUAACCGUCUAGUUACUUCUUUAUUUAUGUUGUAAGUCUUUGCACUUUUUCGAACACCGAAACCUUUGGCUAGAGCACAUGAAUUAUAUGCAUUGUAAGAUUCUUCUUCAGAAUUAAAUUUCAUACAAAUCUCAAAAGCAAAGUUCUUGUUAAUGCUAUAAACAUUAUUUGCUUUUGUAGAAUAUUCGUUGUCGUUAAUAUUGGAUCUACAAUAAUAAUUUUAUUUUUUGAGUAUCAAAACAUAAGAAAUAGAUAAAAAUAUAAAAAUUUACUUAAUAGAGAACCUUCACACUCGAAUUAAGAAAAUAUCAUAUAAAUAAAGUGUAUUACCUUCUUGAAGAGAAGACCCUUUAUCAAUAUGUAUGUCCUCCAUUUUUUAAAAUUUAAAGCAAAAUCUGCACAAGAAACAAAUUAUAUUAUUAAGAAAUUAUAUUUUUCAAAUAUUACCUUAGCACAUAAAAUUAUUAAAACAUGUCUUUUAUUUUACUAUACAUUUCAAAUUUAAUUUAAUAUUAUGUGAUCACCAUUAAAUUUGAAUGUAAAUUUUUUUGAAAUUACUAAUACUAAUAUUUUAUAUGACAGGAACUUUCUAUCAAGCAUGAAGAUCAUUUAUGAUAACAAUGAAUGAUGCACAAAAGUUUACAUAGAUAAUCGUGUCACACAAUCUUGAGCAUUUUGAAAAAGAUAAUGCAACAUUCUAUUUUCAAGAUAUGUAUAAAAUAUAUUUAUCUAUAUGUAAAAUGAGGAUUAUCAAUAAACAACUUUUUAUUUUAUUUAAAGUUUUCGUAAAAAAAUGUAAUAUCAUUGGACAAAUAAAAGAAUUUUGAGAGCAAAAAUAGUAAAAGAAAUGGUUCAUAGAUAUGUAUAUUUUGUAACCUUACUUGAACAAAAUUUAAACGAGAAUAAAGGAUCAUAGAUGGUGUAAUUUUAUUUUAGAGCAACAAUGUCGUAUUUUUAUCUUAGGGCUUUUACUUAUUUGUAGGCAAAGAUCAUAAUUUAAGGAGGGAAAAUAGUACUUUCUUUCCCUCCAUUUUUAUUGUACUAUAUAAAUGUUUAUUUUUAUUAUUUUUAUUUUGUUUCGUUUGACUUUAUUUGCAAAGUACACAUAUUGACCCACAAUCCAUGUGUCAAAAAAUGGGUGGAGCCUCAUUCAACUUUGGUUGGUUGGACCUCUACUACCAUAAAAUUUUUCUAAGGUACACAAUUAAUUGAUUUUACUUCUCUAACAUAGGUAUCAGAGUCAUUUUCAUGUCAUGAGGCUACCCUCUAAACGUAACACGAGACGUAGGAUCACAAGUGCGCCUAAGUUGACCCUAAGUCUGGCGAAUCAUAAGCAUACUGAAAAAUAACUAAAAAAGCGGAAGCAUAACUAAUAAUUGAGUCAAAACUAUGCACUCUAAAAGAAAAUAAACCUGAACAUUUCAUGGGAAUUCAACCCCAAAUAAUUGAAUACAAACACUAUAUCUAAAAGCUUUUACUACUGAUGAUCCGCUAGGACAAGUCCCCGACUAACUCUAAAAUAAUACUAAAAAUAGUGAAAGUAACUAAAUAAACCAAGCAUAAUGAAAUGUCCUCAAACUAUGAGGAUUCACCACUAAAUCUAUUGAAUUUAAGUUGAUAGUCGAACUAAGCGUGAUCUAGAUGCUGAGUGCCUGAGCCUACAUCAUGAGAAAAUGCAUGGAAAGUAUGUGUUAGUACUUGAAAUAUACUAAGUAUACAUGAUAUAGAUACUAAGCUGGACAGUGAUAUAAUUGAGCAAUAUAAUAAUGAAUAUGAAAAUACUCUACGGAAGUUUAACUGAAAUCUAAGCUAAAUGCAAUGACUAAGUACUAAUCAUGUAACUAUUAUGCGAAACUGAAUGUUUAAGUGAAUGCUAAUUAUAACAUGGUCAAUGCAAUAAGAGUAUGACUGUGGAAGUUACUAUUAACCAAUAUAAACCACGUGAGCUAAAACGUGGAGUUCGAUGUAUAUGCCUCAUUAAGAGACCUAAUAUACCUUUUCAGGGGUAUAAAUGCAUGACUUGACGUGAUCACUAACAAUGAUGCCUAACAGAGGGGACUUAUGAACCUACAUUUGUACGUAAUUCUAUAACUGUAAGGGUAUGUUGAAUCGUAGUCCAACUUUGUGCUAAGACUACUCUCAAUUUAAUGAAAAGCUAAAAUGCACUGAAAUACAAAAUAAUUUAAAAUCUGACAUGCUAUCUAGAAAUGCACACAAUUAUACUUAAAGUAAUGACAUUUAAUUUCUAAAGCAUGAUUUUCUGAUUGAUCUGCCUAGAAAGUAUAAUUCAUGAGUUGAUAAUUGAUACAAACUAGGGUUCUAAAUUCUAUAUAUGCAAAUUGCAUUAAUUAUCAAGAAUCAUGUUAUUUAAAUUAUGGGAAUUAUAGCAAUUAAAAUCACAAUAAAUCUUUAAAAUCUGGUAACCCUAAGUCUGAACAGUUUAUGAGAAAUUGAUGAACUGGCUGAAUUCUAGGGACCUAAUGGGUGAAAGGAACUCACUAGUGAAAUUCCACAUACAUAGUGACGAAUCUUCGAAGAACAUUCCUGCUUGGUCUUGGGAGAAACAAUCAACUUUUCCCCCUUUUUUUUCGCUCUAAGUUGGGUGUUUUUUUGAAGAAUGAGAAUUUUGACUAUUAUCUGACUAGAUUAUUAGGCUUGCACUGAGUAAAACGACAUAGUUUAGACAUCAAACAACUUAGUUUAAGUGCCAAUGCAUAGAAAAAAUCAAAGUGACCCUGACAUAAAUGUUGUCGAAGUGACUUCAAGACAAGCUUCACGAGUUGUCAUGAUGACCAAGGCCCGUCUAGCCAAUCGUGAAGAUGUCUUGUCCAAUAGGGCUUCACUAAAAUGAGUAUAACUACUUACAAUGUACUUAGAUUUUAACAAACUCGGUAACAUUGGAAAGAAGGUUUAGAGAUCUUUAAUUUGAAAGGUCAUGGGUCAAUUUACAUAAUAAUGUAGAAUUCACAACAAAAAAAAUUGUGAUACAAUAUCAGCAAUGAAUCAAUGUCUUUCAAACUGUUCUCAACAUAUCACACUCCAAUAAUUAGUCAUAUUGCUUUUUUAUCACCCCUUUUUCAUUGUUUGAAUUAUUCAAUAUGGAAAACUCAACCCAUCACCAAGUCUCAUUACUCUCAAACACAUACUACAAGGAAAUACAAGAUUCUAUACACUUAACAACGACUUAAAAAUCUACUUGCCUCAAUCAAUUGAAUAGGACUUGAAUCUUCCCCCUUCAUAAAACUUUAAAUUGCUUUUAAUCUAUCAAAUAUAUAGUCCUCGUAAGAAUACGAAUCUAAUGACACUCAUAUUACUAUAUGUAGUAUCGGUUUGAAAAAUUAGAUCAAAAAAUCAUCCCGAGCCAUCAAAUUUUAAUCUUAAAUUUUCUUUUAGAUUACGUUCACCAAUAGUAAAACAAAUUCGUAUGCAAAAUUUCAGCUAAAACAGAUCGUUAUUCGACCUCUAAAUCAAGAUUUUGUUCAAAUAACUUUAGGGUUAUAUUUUCUUAUUUAGCCCAAAGUUUACACGUUUACAUCCUAAAAAUCUAUUGAUACUCACAUAAAAGUUUUAUGAAAUUGAUAAGAAUCAUUACCUUAAGCUUUGGGAUGAAAAUCCAAUUUUUAUCUUCCUUUUUCCUAUUCUUUUCUUCCUUACUCUUCUUUUCUUCUACAUCGUAUUUUGUCCUCUAUUCGUUCAUGUUGAUUUCCCCCUCUGUAGUUGACUUUCAACAAAUAGGCCUUUGCCCUUAUUUUAUUUAUUUAUUUAUUUAUUUAUUAUUAUUAGUAGUAGUAUUAUUGUUCCUUUUUCUUUAUGGGAAAAAAGUCUGAUAUACCCCUCAACUUUGUCAUUUAGAGUUGAUAUAUCUCUUGUUAUGAAAGUGACUAAUAUAUACCUCUACACAUAUACCCUUUUCUUCUAACGGAAAUGAAAAAAAAAUUAAUUUAAAUUUUUAUUUUUUUUUCU
rnacentral:lncRNA from 1 species